GCAUCAGUGGUGUAGCGGUAACAUUGGGUCUUCCCAUGGCCUAGCUCCGGGUUCGACUCCCUGCUGAUGCA